UUUGGGAAGCCUGUAGCAGGACAUCACAAAAGUUGGCAUGGGUGAGGCCGCUGAUUUUAUUAAGACCUCUUUACCCCUUUUGUAAGAAAUCGAACGGUCUAACUAUUCACUUUAUUGUGAACCCUCUCAUUUAAAUAACCAAAUAUCUGUAUUUUUGAACCUCCAAGACUCUCCGGAAUCCCCAAAUAGUUCCCCAUUCCCCCCAGAGUUGUAAUACCUAAGAGAUUAUGGAUGUCCGUUCUACGAUCUGCAGGAACUUUAUGCCUAAAUUGAAUCGAUGAUUUAGAAAAAUUAAUUUGUUGUCCUGACACCUUUUC
rnacentral:lncRNA from 1 species